UUGUCUGGGAUUUGUUUAGCGCCUUUAACUCUGUAGCAGAAGGAGAGCAGCAAAUCAGCUCAAGAGUGAAACCACGUUGGAGGUCAUCUAGAAGGCAAACCACUUCCAGCAGAGGUUGCUACUGUUUAUCCCAGAUGUAAAAGCACCUGCAGUGGGAAAAUUGGCAAGUUCAGCCAUGGAAGUUCAGCUCAACUGUGAACUCUAGCUACUGUCUCAAGGUCCUGUCUUCUUCAUGCCAGUUCCUAACAAAUAGGGACAAUUAUUCCUGCCAAGACCUGAGCACAAACAAGUACUUCAAAUGUUUAAGAAAGUCUGCUUAAUUCAACAAAGAAUCUACAUUCAGUAACUGAUGAAUGCGGAUGCAGCUGAUCCAUAGCCAAGCACUGGCUAAGCUCCUGGAGAAGGAUGAAGGACCAUAUGAGAAGGGGAGAACCUUCAUCUGGCGAUGGAUCGAGGUAGAGACAGAGACUCAAUUUGGAGCAAUGGUCUGAGCUCUUAAGGUCCAAAUGAGGUGCAGAAGGAGGGAGAACAUGAGCAAGGAAAUCAGGACCACGAGGGGUGCACCCACCCAAUGUGACAGUGGAACUGAUUUAUUGGGAGCCCACCAAGGCCAGCUGGUCUGGGACUGAAUAAGCAUGGGAUAAAACCGGACUCUCUGAACAUGGCGGACAAUGAAGGCUGAUGAGAAGCCAAGGACAAUGGCACUAGGUUUUGAUCCUAAUACAUGAACUGGCUUUGUGGGAGCUUAGCCUGUUUAGACGCUCACCUUCCUGGACGUAGAUAGAAGACCUUCGUCUUCCCGCAGGGCAGGGAAUUUGGACUGCUCUUCAGUAUCGAGAGGGAGGGGGAAUGGUGUGGGGGGAGGAGAAGAGGAGUGGGGAUAGGGGGAGGGAAGUGGGGGGAGGGGGCAAUAUUUGGGAGGAGGGGAGGGAAAUGGGAAACGGGGAGCAGGU